CCCCACUCCCUCCUCCCCCUUCUUCUCCAGCAGGGGCACACACAGCCAAGGGCUAGAAGAUUGCCUUCAAAAUUUGGAGACCACCCUCAUUUGUCUCUUCCGGAGGAAAGUGGCUACAAGGCAUACAGGGAGAGGCACUAUUAGGAGGUGUGGCCUUGUUGGAGGAAGUGUGGCACUUUCAAGAUCUUCAUCCUAGCUGCCUGGAAGCCAGUCUUCUCCUAUUUGCCUUCAGAACAAGAUGUUGAACUCUCAGAUCCUCUAGCGCCAUGCCUGCUUGGGUGCUGCCAUGCUCUGACCUUGAUGAUAAUGGACUGAACCUCUGAACCUGGGCCUAUCAUGACUGCCCAGUGAGCAGCUGAAAAAAUCAAAUGUAGAUGUUUAUACCCAACCAAUGGACAGAAGCUGGUGACCCCUGUGGUUGAAUUACAGAAAAGCUGGAAGAAGCUGAGGAGGAGGGUGGACCUAUACGAAGACCAGCAGUCUCAAGUAACCUGGACCUCAGGACCUCUCAGACACUGAGCCACCAACCAGGCAGCACACACCAGCUGAUAUGAGGCCCCCAACACAUAUACAGCAGAGGACUGCUGGGUCUGGACUCAGUCAGAGAAGAUGCACCUAACUCUUGAGAGACUUGAGGCCCCAGGGAGUGGAAGGUGUGGUGGGGGUGGAGAUGGGAGCAUCCUCUUGGAGAUGAGGGUUGGGGGGAGAGGAGAUAUGGGAUGUGGAACAGUCAGAGGGUGGACCGGGAUGGGGAUAAAGUCUGAACUAUAAAAGUUUAUAUAAUAAUAAUAGUAAUAAUGAUAAAAAGCA
rnacentral:lncRNA from 1 species